rnacentral:rRNA from 1 species
CCCUUAGACACUCUAGGCGGCACGCGCGCUACACUGGGUGGAAGAACGUGUUACUGCUAUCGAAAGAUAGGGUGAAUCACGAAUUCUUGCCCGUGAAUGGGAUAGUUUGUUGCAAUUUUCGGACUUGAACUAGGAAUCCCUUGUAAGCAUGCUCAAGAAUAGCGUGUUGAAUACGUCCCUGCCGUUUGUACACACCGCCCGUCGUUUCUUCCGACUGAUACUCAUUGUGAGUUGCAAGGAUCCUUUAUUGGAAAAUUGCCGCGAAUGCUUUGUAUUGGAGGAAGAAAAANUCGUANCA